AGGACGAACGCUGGCGGCGUGCUUAAUGCAUGCAAGUAGAACGAGGUCCAUGGAGUGCUUGCACUCCGGAAGACCUAGUGGCGAACGGGUGAGUAACACGUGAGAAACGUGCCCCAGAGACCGGGAUAACCCUCCGAAAGGAGAGCUAAUACCGGAUGCCCUCAUUGGAUCGCAUGUUCCGAUGAGGAAAUGGAUUCCGCUCGUGGGAGCGUCUCGCGGCCUAUCAGUCUUGUUGGUGGGUAACGCCUACCGAAGGCAUCGGACGGGUAGCGUGGUCGUGAGAGGACGAACGAGCCACACGUGGGACUAGGAGACGACGGCGCGAAGACCUCCGUACGGGAGCGAGCGAGCGAAGGG
rnacentral:rRNA from 1 species